UCAGACGCCAAGGUGCCUCCCGCCUCUCCUCCCCCAGACCUGGGGCGGUGUGACGGGCAGCUUCGCAGAGUGCAGUACAGCACCGAGUCGCUCAUGGAGGAGAUGGCCAGGGCGGACCGAGUGAGACGCGGCUGUUCGGCGGUCCUCGCGCGCUGGCGCGCUGCUGACGCUGCCGCUCCUCUUCCUGGGGCUGUCGCUGCUCUGGACGGUGCUGUUGGACCCCGGCGCCGUC
rnacentral:lncRNA from 1 species